rnacentral:lncRNA from 1 species
CAUGUGCCAGCUGAUAGGGGAGCUGUGACAUACCACACCCCCGUGGCUGGGAAGGGGGUCACAUGGACCCGUCUCAUCCAGAGCACUUUAAAGAAACUGAUAAGCUCUAUCUCGUUUAACUUGGCCUUUGGAAGACACUUGUGGAAAUUUCUGCAAAGGAGGUGACAUCAGUUGUUGUCACAGCUGCUGUCAGUCCUUUGCCACCUACGACCUGGGGAAGACACGAUGGUAGAUACGAUGGCAGACACUGCAGAAAGGUCCUGUGGUGAAGAUGGGUGAGAGGCCUGGCUGAGCAGAGAGAGUUGGGCAGGCUGCAAACAACCUCACCAAACCGACGUGUCCAUCUCCAUCGUGCCCUGCAGCACCACUGCUUCUGGUGCCCAGCUGCACUCCAAUGGGCUUCUGGAUGCUCAGAAACACGAACUAGAGUAAUUUGCCCUAAUAAUUUUCAACUGUGAGUUCCCACAGCAUCUGAAGUUAUGUUUACAAAAAUGUGUACAUAAAGCUACCAGUCUUCAACUGUCCCAGAAGAAAAGUCAUGUGUUGAUGUAGGAGUGACUACUGAUGAAGAAUGCUUCAAUUUAUUGGAAACUGGAUGUAAAACAUCUUCAGAAAGGUGUUUUUUCUGCACGCUUAGAACCAGGCCCAAUGCACCUUUAAUUUAAGCUUUACAUUCGCAACAAAUUAAAAAUAUCAUCAGAACUGCAAAGGUAACAACUCCUCUGAAAGAUGGGGUCAGCUGAAAAAAGGCAGCAGUGAGUAAGAGAAGUCUGGGACAUCUUCACGUCAGGCAUUUAAUAAGGAAGAGGAAACAGCACAGGUACACUGUUUCUCAGAAAUACGAGAAGACACCAGGCUCAGUUGCAGUCCUAAACACACUUUUGCACCGAUUUCCCCAGUUUCUUGGCUGCGUAUUUAAGAGUACGUGGAAAGAUGCUGUAUGA